rnacentral:lncRNA from 1 species
ACCAUUAUACUAGGCCUUAGGCAGGAUCUUGCCAAUCCCAACAAAAAGAUUAAGGAAUUAGAGCGCCGCUAAGUUAUCUAGAUUAGACCUUGAGGCAAUGCAUCUUAGUUAUCUUUAAAUUCGGUUUAAGUUUGCUAUUAUCAUCAGUUUGCUAUUAUCAUCAGUUUAUUAUCAGUCUGCUACUAGUCUUUUGUAAUAAAUGCCUCAAGAUUAAUAAAGAGUAUUAUUAUUAUGUCUUGUGUGUCUCUACUUUAUUUUUGUGCAAGAAAGCAGAAAACAAGUAUGGGAGAGAUCCCUCGACAUGCCAAACACACUCCGACUACACCACUCCACGAUUCAGGUACACACUCUACACACUUUAUGUUACACAUAUAUAUAUUUUGGAUUAUGCAGAUUAUUGUUUCCGACAUGAUAAAAUUAAAAGGAUUAAAAUAUUUCUAAUCAUGAUUAAUCUCAAUCUGUGAUAUUUCCUGAAAACUUGCAAUUAUUAUAAAAUCAUUUUAAAACCCUGUGUUACUUAAGUCAAUAUGGAAUAUAUGAUGGUAGAGUAUGAGUUUCUUAUUCUUGAUAUCAUUGUUGCUUGGAGAAUUUACUUUAAAAUAUUCAAAAUUCUAGCUACCAUCCUCAGUGUUUUAUAUGCCUGAUAAAAACUGAAAAUAUUAAUUAUGAUUAUAAAGCUAUCUACUCUGUAUUGAGUUUGUUCAAAAUGAGUUAGACCCUUGUUGAGAGAUUUAUCAUGCUCCUAAGAUCAAGACAUUAUUUCAGAAAGAUUCACUCUUCCGAAGUAUUAUUGCAUUAGAGGCAUGGGCUAUGCAAAAAUAAAAAUAUUUUGAGGAAAUAAAAAGGAGCAAGUGCUCGACAACCUCGCAGAAAAAAUGGACAAGUGUCCGGCAGUAGAAUUAGGGAUACCUCGGUAUCCACUUAAAAAAAGAGAAAAGAGAAAAAAAUAGCCCAUGGUCCCUCUAAUAAGCAAUAUGCCAGCAAGAGUUGACAAAGAUUUUAAUUUCCAAAGACUUAGAUCUUAGAGUAUGACAUUCCCCUCCUCGGAUCCCGUUUUGAUCAGGCAAUAAAUGCAAAGUAAGUAUGCUUGAGAAUUUUUUUCAAAAAAAUAAUAAAACAACCUCAGUGAGAUAUAUAAAAGAUAAUGAGUGAUCUGAGAGAACCUAUGAGGAUAAAAAGGUAUGCUAACUUUCUUUCAAAAAUAUACAAAAACUCCAGGUGACAGGAUUGAGAAGAAAGGAUCUUUACUCUUAACCAUAUACUUCCCUGACUAUGGUACACAGUGAAUUUUUAACAACCUGCAAAUAUAUAAAGAAUGCUUUAAAAUAUUUUACCCCAGAUAUUGUUCUUAACCAUCCUUUUCUCGAGGACGAGUAAAAGCCUAAGUAUGGGGGUAUUUGUUGACGGUUCUUAAGUAUCAAUUUUAAUUAUCAAAUAAACAAGAGAAAGGACUAAUAUGCAACCAACACCUAGAAUUAGGGUUUGAUCUGACAGAAUUCCACGAGUUUUGUUGUUUAUCUGUUUCUGCAGGGGGUUAUCAAGAAAUAAGGAAGAAAGGCCCACAUGUCGGGAUUACAUAGAGAUAUCAACGCACCGCACGAUUUUAUACCAUCUAGAAGACUCCAGAAGCCACGGGAAGAAGACGGAGGCCGAAAGGGGCCAGGCCCAGGGCGCCCGCCCUGGUGACCUAGGCGCCUGCCCCCCUCUGGAUGACAAUCAGGACUCUCUUCGCUCGGGAUAUUCCACCGACCUAUU